UAAACAGGAGACCACAGAGAGAGCCAGUUCCCUGCGUUCAGAGAACACUAGCCGCCUCCGGUCCCCGGUGGGUGGCUGUAUGUGUGGAAAUGAAACUGGGAGGAGGAGGGAGAGAGGGAAGAGCAGGCACGCACUUCGCGGCUGUCAUCCACCUGGCCUCUCUCGACCCGCCAGCCCACUCCCCACCGGGGUACGGGGUUGGGGGAGGUGGGAGGGAAACGGUUCUGCAGACGCCCACCCCUUAGUACCAGUAGCUGGUUCAGCUGUCGGUGAAUCAGACACUGUCUCAGCAGCUUGUCACCUGCGCUCGGGAGGGGAACAGAGGGCAACCCUGGAACGUGGCAGGGAGAGGUUGGGGAAGGGCAGGAUCCAGCACUGGGCCUGGGCGUCUGGGUGACGCCAGCGGCUGGGAAAAAGGGUGUCCACCUCCCUACACCCACACACAUCUCGACCCAGUACCUGGACGCCGAGUAGACGGGGUGGAACAAGAGCUUGGGGGCCCAACGGAAGGGGGACUUGGAAGCACGGGAGGGGAGAAGAACAGGGUGGGGGUGUGCUGCGGCGGGAAGCGCUGGGUGCGGGGCAGGCGCGCGCGCGCGGAACAAGCCGCUGCCCGGUGCUUGCCCGCGCGGGGUUAUGCGAGGUAACCGCGCGGCGAGGAGGAGGGAGGCGGCGGGGGCCGCGGGCCGGGGUGUCUGGCACUCGUUGGACAAAGAGAUGAUGAAACGAAACACAGCCCAUCUGACUCACCGGGAGGGCUGCACCGACCCCCUGGCAGGCUUAGCCUGGAGACUGACGCGGGGCGCCGGUUCUCCCGGGACCAGACCGAACCUGGGCACUACGGCUGGGGCUGGGUUGAUUUAUAUAUAAAUAAAGGCACAUUCGAUCCAAGAGUGCGUGUGGUUCUUGCGGGGUAGGGGAGAGCGCGGAAAUGGGAGGAAUGUUUCCUAACCCCUUGGCUGAGCCUUCGGGGGCGAGAUCUGCCUGCAAACUCUGAGAGCACAAUUCCUGCAAAGUCAUCUCCUCCGGCACAGCCCGGCCGGCCUGCCCGCCCCGCCCCGCCCGGGGACAGCAGCACCCGCCUCCCCCACUAGCUCCCCACCCCCGUAGCCCUCGGAGUUGGGGUGCGGUGCCGGCUAUGUUUAGAAGCUGAUGUCAUCUCGACACCCUACUCUGCAGUGUUCCCAGGAGGACCGCAGGGCAGGUUUUCCUCUUCCUCGCGGGCGUGGGGGAUGGAAGGUGGCCUGCCCUCUCCCCAACACACGCACCCCACAUCCAUCUACCCGGGAGAUUAAAAGAAAAAAAAAAAAAA